UACGUAGGGCGCAAGCGUUGUCCGGAAUUAUUGGGCGUAAAGAGCUCGUAGGUGGCUGGUCGCGUCUGCCGUGAAAGCCCGGGGCUUAACCCCGGGUCUGCAUUCGAUACGGGCUUGCUAGGGUCCGGCAGGGGAGACUGGAAUUCCUGGUGUAGCGGUGAAAUGCGCAGAUAUCAGGAGGAACACCGGUGGCGAAGGCGGGUCUCUGGGCCGGUACCGACGCUGAGGAGCGAAAGCGUGGGGAGCGAACAGG
rnacentral:rRNA from 1 species